rnacentral:rRNA from 1 species
ACGCUGGCGGCGUGCCUAGUACAUGCAAGUCGAACGGUCUUUCUAUGGAAGCUUGCUUCCACUGAGAAGAUAGUGGCGAACGGGUGAGUAACACGUGGGUAACCUGCCCAUAAGAGGGGGAUAACAUCCGGAAACGGGUGCUAAUACCGCAUAGUUUUCUUGAUCGCAUGAUCGGGAAAGGAAAGACGGCCUUUGUGCUGUCGCUUAUGGAUGGACCCGCGGCGUAUUAGUUAGUUGGUGAGGUAACGGCUCACCAAGACGAUGAUACGUAGCCGACCUGAGAGGGUGAUCGGCCACAUUGGGACUGAGACACGGCCCAAACUCCUACGGGAGGCAGCAGUAGGGAAUCUUCCGCAAUGGACGAAAGUCUGACGGAGCAACGCCGCGUGAGUGAAGAAGGUUUUUCCGGAUCGUAAAACUCUGUUGUCAGAGAAGAACAAGUUGGAGAGUAACUGCUCCAGCCUUGACGGUAUCUGACCAGAAAGCCACGGCUAACUACGUGCCAGCAGCCGC